rnacentral:rRNA from 1 species
UCCGACCUCAGAUCGCACGAGAUUACGCGCUGAAUUUAAGCAUAUCAAUAAGCGGAGGA